rnacentral:misc_RNA from 1 species
UUUCCGUAGGUGAACCUGCGGAAGGAUCAUUAUUGUAUAACCGAGGUGCGAGGGCUGUCGCUGACCCGAAAGGUCGUGCACGCCCGAGUGCCCUCACACACAUCCAUCUCACCCCUAUGUGCACCACCGCGUGGGUCCCCCUUUGGCUUGUUCGGAGGGGGGCUUACGUUUUCACACAAACUUUGUAUGCAGUGUAGAAUGUAUUUCUUGUUUCUGCGAUCACGCAAUCAAUACAACUUUCAACAACGGAUCUCUUGGCUCUC